GGGGGUAUAGCUCAGUGGUAGAGCAUCUGAUCAGAUCGAGAGGCUCUCGCUCAACCCGGGUGCCCCCU